AGAUAUGUCAUCGUUUUUAAAUCCAGUUUUAUGUGUGCCAAAAAGUGCUUAUUUAUUUUAUAUUUAAACGUGUAUCUUCAUACAUAGCUAAAGGGAGUAUCUUCACACUUUGCUUGUCAUUAUUUCGGGGUCCUCUUAGGUAAAGACCCAGCGGUGAGCAGCACUGAUGGCAGCACAUCUGGAAUCAAUACAGUCGAACUGGAUUCUGCUGUAGCUCUGGAGUCAGAAGGGUCGAGUUCAAGCUGACCAGGUCACAUCACUCAGAGUGCGCCAGCACGGAUGGUUGCUAUGGUGAGGUUUAUGGUGGAAGAGAUAUGGGGAUUGAUGGAAAAUUUUUGCUUGCUCAAGUAAAUUUUCCAAAAUACAACACACACUUAUUUAUA